GGUGGUGUCAUAAAGUGACAAGCGGGCAUCGCCACGGAUCAAUCAGAAAGAGGAUGUAACCAGUCGUCAGUAUUAUAGGGACAAGGCAGCAGUUGGUCGUGUCGGACAGACAAAAAGCCAGGAGCACCAUCGUGUCAAUCGGCAAUGUGUUCCAAGAGUCGUUGGAAACAACCGAGAGGCGCCAGCCGAUAUCCAUGUGAUAGUGAAAAGGUUUGUUAUUG
ensembl:ncRNA T06F4.5 ncRNA